rnacentral:rRNA from 1 species
CCUACGGGGGGCAGCAGUGGGGAAUCUUCCGCAAUGGGCGAAAGCCUGACGGAGCAACGCCGCGUGAUCGUAUGAAGGCCUUCGGGGUGUAAAGAUCUGUUGACAGGGACGAAUAAGCCAUGCGAAUAGUUUGGUGUAUGACGGUACCUGUUUAGAAAGCUCCGGCUAACUACGUGCCCGCAGCCGCGGUAAUACGGAGGAUGCUAGCGUUAUCCGGAUUUAUUGGGUUUAAAGGGUGCGUAGGCGGACUGUUAAGUCAGCGGUAAAAGCCCGGGGCUCAACCGCGGCGGGCCGUUGAAACUGGCUGUCUUGAAAUGUCGAGAGGUAUGCGGAAGGCGGAGUGUAGCGGUGAAAUGCUUAGAUAUUGCGCAGAACUCCGAUUGCGAAGGCAGCAUACCGGCGGCGAUCUGACGCUGAGGCACGAAAGCGUGGGUAUCGAACAGGAUUAGAUACCCCAGUAGUC